CUGCAGCCAAUUAAGCCAACCAUGCUUUUUGCCCCAUGGGGCUCAGGGUGCAGUGGCUGCAAACAGCAGUAUCCUUGGCUACGUAUCAGUCUGCUCGUAUGGGUUGCCCUAAUGAACCUUAAAGACAGCU